CGGAGGGUGCAAGCGUUAUCCGGAUUCACUGGGUUUAAAGGGUGCGUAGGAGGGCAGGUAAGUCAGUGGUGAAAUCUCCAAGCUUAACUUGGAAACUGCCGUUGAUACUAUCUGUCUUGAAUAUUGUGGAGGUGAGCGGAAUAUGUCAUGUAGCGGUGAAAUGCUUAGAUAUGACAUAGAACACCAAUUGCGAAGGCAGCUCACUACACAAUCAUUGACUCUGAGGCACGAAAGCGUGGGGAUCAAACAGGAUUAGAUACCCUGGUAGUCCACGCCCUAAACUAUGGAUACUCGACAUACGCGAUAUACAGUGUGUGUCUGAGCGAAAGCAUUAAGUAUCCCACCUGGGAAGUACGACCGCAAGGUUG
rnacentral:rRNA from 1 species